AAAAACUGAGGUGGUAUACGAUGGUUCCGCGCCUGAUUAGCUAGUUGGUGGGGUAAAAGCCUACCAAGGCAACGAUCAGUAGCCGGCCUGAGAGGGUGAACGGCCACAUUGGGACUGAGACACGGCCCAAACUCCUACGGGAGGCAGCAGUGGGGAAUAUUGCACAAUGGGGGAAACCCUGAUGCAGCGACGCCGCGUGAGUGAAGAAGUAUUUCGGUAUGUAAAGCUCUAUCAGCAGGGAAGAAAUACUGACCAUAGGGUCAGCAGACGGUACUUGACUAAGAAGCCCCGGCUAACUACGUGCCAGCAGCCGCGGUAAUACGUAGGGGGCAAGCGUUAUCCGGAUUUACUGGGUGUAAAGGGAGCGUAGACGGCAGCGCAAGUCUGAAGUGAAAUGCCAGGGCUUAACCCUGGAACUGCUUUGGAAACUGUGCAGCUAGAGUGCAGGAGAGGUAAGUGGAAUUUCUAGUGUAGCGGUGAAAUGCGUAGAUAUUAGGAGGAACACCAGUGGCGAAGGCGGCUUACUGGACUGUAACUGACGUUGAGGCUCGAAAGCGUGGGGAGCAAACAGGAUUAGAUACCCUGGUAGUCCACGCUGUAAACGAUGAUUACUAGGUGUUGGGGGACCAAGGUUCUUCG
rnacentral:rRNA from 1 species